UAAAGGUUUGCUACUUCAUCCUCGUGUUAUACUUUGAUUUAUGCUUUGGAGAUGGAAAGAUUAAUUGCUAGAAUGUGAUGAAGUAGAAAAUAAAGAGGUAUUUUGAGCUAAAAUGUGAGGGAGAUUGAUGUGUCAUAUAUAGUAUGUAUUCUUGCAGUGGUUUAAGAAUGAUGCUAUCUUGUCUAGACGGUUUAUCUUACAAAUUCAAUAAGGUUUUUCAAAUCCAUACUUGUUGAACUUGCAUAAGGUUUUUCAAAUCCAUACUUGUUGAACUUGCAUACCGUGUUCAUCUCUGCGAGGAUGUUCUCCGCCGAGCAGCAACGUAUGUCAAGAAGGAGGUUCGAUUCUAUGAGAAAGAGUGGAUACGGACAUCGUGACCGUGUCCCCUUUUCUGUAGCAUCGAACCUC
rnacentral:lncRNA from 1 species